rnacentral:tmRNA from 1 species
GGCCUUUCAUUUUCCAUGACGGGUUCCUAUAUUCGCUUUGUCGGCUUGACCGACUAUGGCGAUAAACAGGCGAUGAAAUAAGCCGUUCGGACCCGGGGGCGGUACCCGGCGCCUCCACCAAAAACCGCUCGUUCAAAAGGAGCGGCUUUUGCUGGGGGCGAAAUAGGAUCGACGAAGGUGUAAAGAUCGUACUUUUGCCCGGCAUUGUACCACCGUUAUCGGGCUAAACUUAUAGUUGCCAACGACAACUAUGCGGAAGCUCGUCUCGCUGCUUAAUGCGGCGCGAACGCUUCAAAUCAAGCCCUAGGGGUUCGCACUUCUAGGCGGGGUUCGGAGGUACCUGGCAACAGAAACCUCCACC